AUGGGCGGCGCGACUGGAGCUUGCAGGGGGCGGAUCCGCGCACGGCGGGGGCUUGGAGGCGGAUCCGGAGGUGGGCGGCGACGCGGGGGGCGAGGAAGGCCGGAGCGCGGCUUCCCGGGCGGAUCCAUGGCAGAGAAGAGACUGGGUGGUGAGGUUGAGAAGAAGGGAGAAAAGUGGGGCGGUGCGGCGACCCACGCAGGAGCUCGCCGGAGCCGGGUGACGAUGGACGGGCGCGGGAGACAGAAGGAUCCGGCGCGGCGGCGCGCACUCCUUGUAGUUGGAGGCGGGCCUUCAUGGCCGCGGCGCCCCUCCCCCCGCGACAGCUCAGGCAGCGGUCAGAUCCGCCCUCCCUCCCUCCCUCACUCCUCGCACUGGAAGACCUAG
rnacentral:rRNA from 1 species